rnacentral:lncRNA from 1 species
GGGGUUGUUUAGCUUCCCUGGCAUACCUAUCCAUGGCACUCCUGCUGUCUCCUCCCACAUGUGGACCUCCAAAAAUCGUAUGAAUGCUACCUUCUCUGGCUGUUCUUGGGGGUUCAGUAGAUGCGGGUGCUUCAGACUCGGCUUCGGGUACUAAAGUGAUGAUGGGAGUAUCCUUAUGCUUUCUCACCUCUCUGACAACCCAAUCCGUCAGCUUACCACUCCUGAUCAACUGUUCAAUCUCUUCCUU